AAGAUGCUAAUCUGAGUCUAUUUGGAAAGGGCCUCCUGUGGAAAAUGAAGACUCAAAUCCAAUAAUGAUAUUCUGCCAAUAUGUUUAUACUUCAUGGAAGCAUAAAAUCUCAUUUUGUUUUAAAUGAGAUGCUUUUUGAUUCUGAAAUGGAUCCCUCUCUGAUGCUCUUUAUCAUGUCCCCUAAUUUUUCAUUUUAUUUUUAUCCAGGUCCUAGAGGUAGAGAAUGAAGUUUGCAUUUAUUGGUUACAGAACGUGUUGACAAAGAAUUGCCCAAUAGCUUCUACUGGGAAAGGGCUCUUAUUUUAUAGGAAACUGUAUGAUUCUAUGUUGUCAGUUGUACUUUAGGCUGUGAUGGGACAUUAAAGGUAGGGGAGAGGUCUGUGCCAGGAUCUAUUUCACUACAAUCACAUCCACCAGUUUUUUGAGUGCCUAGGCUAGUUAGCGUUCUGGGGAAGCACAAAGACAGAGUGAUGCCUCCAAAUGAAGACAUUCAAAGGAUGAUAAAUUAAUUCAUCAGAAGGAGGUUAAAGCUGAGGGUGGGGGUGCAAAAAAGGAACAGAAAAAGCAAAAGACCAGAAUUUAGAAAUAGCUCUCAGCCCAAAGUAUUUUUGUACACAAGCAGGAAGUCUCUUUCAGGAGGCCAAGCCACAGAUUCUUACACAUGGUCCUUGCAUAAGUAACUCUGUGAUUAGAAAAUAGAACCAUUCCUUCAGAAAGCAUUAGUAUUAAACUUUUAAGGUGGUGCAGCUUGAUUAAUUUAUUGACGUUGUAGAUCCAGAGAGAGCAAGCUUUUGGAUGGAAAGGCCUAUAUGCAAGUGCCUUUAACCUUCCCUCCCCACAACCCCUUUCUUGUUUUGACAAGAAUACCCGACAUUUUGGAAGGGCUUUUUUUUUUUCACCAUCAUUAACAAAAUCAAGUGUCCUAGCCCUGCACUUGGUUAGAAAUCUGAUAUUUAGGACCAUAUGCUGGGAAAUGCUUGAGAUCUCAGAAAGGAAAAAUUUUAAGGUGCUGUACAGUUACCAGUUCUUCAUUUUGCUCAGGAAGUCUUUUGCAGAAAGGGAUGCCACAGUCGACCACAUAUAGUUUUGAGAAGACAACUUAGACCACCUUGUGCCCAGUAGCUCAAGAGGGAAGGGAGAGUUUGGUUUUUUUAAUUGUUACCUGACCUUAUUGGCCCAUUCAUACCCUUCUAAUCCCCAGAAACUCUCUUCUCCAACCCUCCCUCUAAGUACAGCUGCUCUCAUUUUUGGAGAACUAAUUCAUCUAGCUUAGGACUCAUCCAGGCUCUCUGGCUGUGCUUCUUUUUCCUCAUAUCAUAGGUUUCACUCUAGGUCAUUUUUACUCUGGAAGGUGCAGGAUUUGAGAGUAGAUACAGAAAGUGUAGGGGCAGCUAGGUUAUGCAGUGGAUAGAAUGCUGGACCUGGGGCCAGAAAG
rnacentral:lncRNA from 1 species